rnacentral:rRNA from 1 species
UACGGAGGGUGCAAGCGUUAUCCGGAUUCACUGGGUUUAAAGGGUGCGUAGGUGGGUUGGUAAGUCAGUGGUGAAAUCUCCAGGCUUAACUUGGAAACUGCCAUUGAUACUAUCAAUCUUGAAUACCGUGGAGGUCAGCGGAAUAUGUCAUGUAGCGGUGAAAUGCUUAGAUAUGACAUAGAACACCAAUUGCGAAGGCAGCUUACUAAGCAAAUAUUGACGCUGAGGCACGAAAGCGUGGGGAGCAAACAGG